ensembl:lncRNA
CAGACGCUUUUCUUUUUGUCUCCAUAAUGUCUCCAUAAUGCUCCAAUGUUAUCUGCUCCAGAAACACACUGUGCAGAAGCUCUGAUGGUGACACAGAAAAGUCAAAGUGGAGAUACUUCUGUCCACCUUUGAUUAGACUCAUUAUAAAAAGGAAAACAAAGUUUGAACACAGUCAUGUUUCCAGUUCACUGACUUACAUUUAUUCCAUGGACACUCACUCUAACCUGAACCACAGCUACAACCCAACAUUGUUGAGGCCUCAUCUCCUCCUUUCCUGACUGUAGAGGUUAAAUAUGCAACAACCAACAAAUAAAAGAAUUUGGUUCAUUUCAAAGAAAUUCACACGGUGACCAAGUAAAGUAACCGUAGUAAAGGAGACAACAUCCCGUUGAUGGUGGGAUUAUUUGAAAGAUUUGCUUUAGUCACGUCACCAAAUGCAGUUGAACCACCCGUGGAUCCAUGUUUGACCAUUCUACCACUCUGAGCUCUGCUUUUUAAUCAUUUUAUUAUCAUCAUUCAUUUAUUCAUUCUUUGGAGGGGGGCUAUUUCCUAAUGCCGCCCUAAUAAGCUGAUAUUUAAAGGAGAGAGUGAGAAACUUGAUCAUCCAUCCUCAUAAUACAUGUUUAUCAGUAUCUGCUGUGACCAUACUGCAGUAAUAACUACAAGUCUACAUUUCUGUGACUGUUGAUCAAUCACAGCAGGAAUCUGAGCUCAUCUCUGCACACAGAGCAGCUUCAGCUCUGGGAUAAACUGCUCGCUUCACGUCCUUCUCAGCUCACAGACACUCAUCCUGAUAUUUUCCUUUAACAUUUGAUGGUAUAAUUCAUCUGAGUUUACACUUUAUCUGCAUGAAUACAGAAAAACAGACCCAAACACCAGAAACCAUCAGUUUCACCAUGUAGAAUAUAUUGUUGUUUCCUUGCUUUUAAUUCAGAGAAAAACUCUGAUUUGGAUUUUCUCUGUUCUCUUUGCUGCUGAUUCUCUAUCUCAUCUUCGCUCUCAAACAUUUAAACAGCAGCGAGUCUGCAGCUGAGGGAACACAAACUCAAACUGUCGGAACAGGUUUGAUUGUAUCUUGUGUUUAUUAAUUUGGUGAUUCAUCAAAUGUAU